rnacentral:rRNA from 1 species
ACGGGAGGCAGCAGUGGGGAAUAUUGCACAAUGGGGGAAACCCUGAUGCAGCAACGCCGCGUGAAGGAAGACGGUCUUCGGAUUGUAAACUUUUGUUCUUAGUGAAGAUAAUGACGGUAGCUAAGGAGAAAGCCACGGCUAACUACGUGCCAGCAGCCGCGGUAAUACGUAGGUGGCAAGCGUUGUCCGGAAUUACUGGGUGUAAAGGGAGCGCAGGCGGGAAAUCAAGUUGGAUGUGAAAUGUCGGGGCUUAACCCCGGAACUGCAUCCAAAACUGAUUUUCUUGAGUGAAAUAGAGGUAGGCGGAAUUCCGAGUGUAGCGGUGAAAUGCGUAGAUAUUCGGAGGAACACCAGUGGCGAAGGCGGCCUACUGGGCUUUAACUGACGCUGAGGCUCGAAAGUGUGGGGAGCAAACAGGAUUAGAUACCCUGGUA